CUGCCUGCCUGCCUGCCUGCCUGCCUGCCUCUGCCAGUAAGCUCUCAGUCAUUCUGCUUCCUGUGUCUGUGUUUGGGUCCUUUUCCCUGUUCCCUGCGUGCCAACACAUCAUAACAGUGAGGUGUUUUCACAGAUUUACGUCUUCAGCAGAGCUGAGAGCCACAGACAGGAAGUCCGUGUUGAGAGACGGACUAACAUGUUGUUGGUUUUGGUCCUUUCAUGGGAUUUGUUGCCUAUAGUAAAAAGACAGACCAACACCUCACCCUUUCAGAUAUGGAUGCGACCAGGCUCCUAAAAUGCUUAAUUAACCGUAAGGAAAGAUUGAUGCCUCGAUGUUAACUUGAAGGACAAGACGGGGCAUGAACCCUCGUCUCCAGUCAUACUGCUUUGGAUGCCGAAUGAUCCACCCUGACAUCCUCCGUGUGUCUGAAAUGAAACUACCUAAUGGCUGCUAAGAGAACGCUGGCCAGUAGCUUGCUAAACUCGCAGGAGACAUGGUUUUAGAAAGUGAGGACCUUUUGUGGGAGGUUAGGAGACUUUUGGAUAGUGAGGACAUUUUGAAAGUCAAUGCAUUUGUCCUCACUUCCUCCCAGUAUUGUUUUGAGUGUUGUUGCUGUCUUCAGGGUUAAAGUUGAAUUGGGUUUUUGGUUGCGGUUAGGACCUGCAGGGAACUCUUUUUAUAAAUAAGGGUCCUCACAAGUAUACAGUUACAAACACACACAUUUGCAUGUGUCUGAGCCGUUUUUCACCACCUACAGGGUAAGACUCUGGCUGAAUAAAUGCUUUCUCUAAAUGGUCAGAAUACAUGAAUGUUAAUGCAGCGUGUGUGUGUGUGUGUGUGUGUGUGUGUGUUGGACAAAAGAUAAACCAGUCACAAAAUCUGACUCUUCCUGUCUCCUUGGCUCUUCUGGCUGUCCUGCUGCGUGAUGUAUGUCCACACUGCAGGUGACACACACACUGUUACCUUGUGUGUUACUGUCCUGCUGGAGUCAAGCAGUGAAGCUGCAUGAGGUUCCAUGUGUGUGAAACUAGUGUCAUGUAUUGUUUUGUUUAUUGUUUAACACGCAGUGACAAACGUUCAUGACUGCACUGCGUUACCUUUCACAGUGUUUACUGACGGCUGCUGGUUUUGUUUAUGUCCAGCUGUUUAUGUAUGCAUGACAGGCAGGUUUAAAGUGUUAUCACCAACAGAGUAUUUGCUAUAACCAUCAGAUUAUUGUCAUCAGCUGCGUUUUUGAUGCCACUCCAGACCGAACGUCCACUGCGAUGGGAGUUUUGAAAAAUCCACAAACUGAAUUCAUUAUUUCACAGUUAGUUAACUUUACUCCUGGUCCAAGAAAGUGAGCUCUACAUGUAUAUCAACAUUUAUUAAAAAAAGUUAAAAAGGUUGCUUAUUCCUCAUUGUUCUGGAGCUUUCGACAUCUUCAGUUCCAUCACACAGAGCGACCUUUGCUGAUGAAGACCAUGUAAUAUGGACGAAAGAGGACUUUAAAGGGAGACUCAGUAACUUUUGAAAGAUGAGAACACGUUCUUCCUUUCCUUUAACCUUACUUGGUCGGAUAGCCUAUGGUGGCUAACGUUAGCUAACUUUACAUAGUGCUGCUGUCUUAACGAGUGUCAUUUUGCUGACUUGCUAACUCUUCUCUGGGUCUGUCAGGGCUGUUUCAGUUUGGAGAGAGGAAGGAAAAAAAAAAACCCUGGGGAGAGUCUUUUUAUUUAUUUAUUUUUUAUUAAAUGAAAUGUAAAAAUUACCCCACUCGUUUAGCAAGCUCUCACCGCUUUCAUUUUUAUUAAUUUCAUGCCAAAUUCAUAGACACCGCUCUGCUGCAGAACUCCCCUCAGCCUGCCCGGCCGACUUCCAGCAGCUCCGUCUCCACUGCAGCCGUUAGGAACAUCUGCAUGUGAAGUCGUGGCGUCGGAGUUUAGGUUGAAACAGAUUGUGGUGUGAGCUGCUGCUGGACGGAGAGCAGCUGGGACGACAAGGUGUUUGAUAUUCAUCGCUUCUUUCUUCAGAUUUUCUCCUUUUUUUCCUCUGGCAGCGAGAGUAAUCUGUUCUGAAAACACAAGGAGUUUCAGCAGUGUCAUCGUCAUGGUGACCUUAAGGAUGGAGCCACUGAGGCUGUGCGACAGACAGAGCUGGACCCAAAAUGCAGACUCAGAGAGAUUAGCAGGAAGUGAACACCGUUUUAUCUCGGGAGCCGGUAGUGAGUACGACGGCGCGAUCGGUGAUGGUGGAUCCGUGAGCAGACAGGAGAAACCGGCGUGGAGGGAGCAGAGCAGGUGUAGACCGGGGUCCGUCUAGGCGAGGCUGAGAGCGAGGCGGGCGGGCAGGAAACUUCCAGAGAUGAGGUGGACCUGAACACAGGAAGACAGCGAGUUACACUUGGGUCUAAACACACGAAGCAAGGAAAACAAAGCAAGAUACUUGACAUGAGCCGAAGGUAAGCUGAUGAUCUGGCGAAGACUGCAGCGUCAGAGUCAGGUGAUGGGAGGAACCGGGGGAGCCACGCCCAGACAGACACACAGAGACAGAGGAGACUGGCUGUGUCGGGACACUUUCAUUCAUCGCUGGAGCUUCGAAAUCAAAUACUCAAUCAAAAAUAUAACUGAAGAGAUUAAAGCCUCAACUCCACGAUACCCAAGCCCAGUGUCCGAGGAAUUACGUCGGAUGAUUCUGCACCUGACGAUAUGUGCAGCUGCCAUCAUCAUCAUCAUCAUCUGUAGUGUGUCUUCUGUGUGUUUUAAUCCCAGUCUGCGCUGUGACUGGCAGGCUCAUUACAGCAGGGCUUCAAACGCUGACGAGGAAAAGAAUCGACUGCGUUGCUGCGGUGACAAAUAUAGACCAUGGACACAUUACAAAGUUUUCAACAGCGCUACCAGAGAGGACGUUCGGCAGCAGAAAGGAUCCAGGCCGCCGUAAAGUCCUGCAACUUUCUGCACAUCAGGAACAGCACGCUAAAAUGUCCCCACAGUAGUUGUGUUUGUGUAUGUGUUUUUAAAAAAGCUGAAUCAUUUUUUAAAAAAUGAUUGAAAAUGACACAUACAUCCCGGUAAGCAUGAUUGCGGUGAUUUGCAGGUCAAAAGACAUCAAGGGUUAAAACCAGCGACCUGUCAUUUUGGUUACAAAGACAAGCUUUUUAAACGUCUGGCUGCAACGAAUUUUUACCAGCAGUUAAAUUACAAUGAAGGUCCUAAAUACAGACUGAACUAUAGUCUGAAAAUCAGGUGAAACUACAAUUCUGUGUAAGAUUUGAAAAGUUUCACUUUUCAAACAAAUUCAGAGUUUUGACCUGCACAUCACCGAAUCGAUGCUACGGGAACACGAUGCAAAGCUACAUCUUCCUGAAAAUGUGAGUUAGGCCUGAACUGUUGGGAUAAAGCUUGAGCAGAGAUCUGAAAAAAGCGAUAAGAACUUUAGCUUAAAUCUCAAAACUGAAAACAUAAAAGGCAUCCGUAACUGCAGUCAAAAUCAUUGUCAAAAGUAUUAAUAUCUUUUAUUGGAAGGACGAACAGAGGCUGGUUCGGUCACACCAGGAUGUAGCACACCGAAGUCCAUAAUGCUAAAAAAUGCUUUGCGCUAGCUAGCUUGCUAAUUGCCAGCGAGCGUGGUUGCGUUAGCGCGGUCACUAACGCAGGGU